CAGGAAGCGACGGCGAAGAAGGGCAAAGGGAGGUGUACAAAGGAAUAGGACAGUGAUAUGAGUGACCAGGAAGCGACGGCGAAGAAGGGCAAAGGGAAUGGACAGUGAGAUGAGUGACCAGGAAGUGAAGAAGAAGAAAACAGGGAAAGGGAAAAGAACCAAGCAAACGCCAGUGAGACCAGUGAGCAUUGAGCAGGAAGAGAACCAACAAGAAGGGGCAGGAGUACACUGACGCGCACGACCAAGACCACAGCAUUCCAUUUCUAUUGUAUUAUAAUUAUCACUAAUAAAGAAUUAUUGUUGAA